rnacentral:rRNA from 1 species
UAUUUUAAAGAGAGUUUGAUCCUGGCUCAGGACGAACGCUGGCGGCGUGCCUAAUACAUGCAAGUCGAACGAACGGAGGAAGAGCUUGCUCUUCCAAAGUUAGUGGCGGACGGGUGAGUAACACGUGGGCAACCUGCCUGUAAGUUGGGGAUAACUCCGGGAAACCGGGGCUAAUACCGAAUGAUAAAGUGUGGCGCAUGCCAUGCUUUUGAAAGAUGGUUUCGGCUAUCGCUUACAGAUGGGCCCGCGGUGCAUUAGCUAGUUGGUAGGGUAAUGGCCUACCAAGGCAACGAUGCAUAGCCGACCUGAGAGGGUGAUCGGCCACACUGGGACUGAGACACGGCCCAGACUCCUACGGGAGGCAGCAGUAGGGAAUCUUCCGCAAUGGACGAAAGUCUGACGGAGCAACGCCGCGUGUAUGAAGAAGGUUUUCGGAUCGUAAAGUACUGUUGUUAGAGAAGAACAAGGAUAAGAGUAACUGCUUGUCCCUUGACGGUAUCUAACCAGAAAGCCACGGCUAACUACGUGCCAGCAGCCGCGGUAAUACGUAGGUGGCAAGCGUUGUCCGGAUUUAUUGGGCGUAAAG